rnacentral:rRNA from 1 species
UACUCGAGUGGCGAACGGGUGAGUAACACGUGGGUGGUCUGCCCUGCACUUCGGGAUAAGCUUGGGAAACUGGGUCUAAUACCGGAUAGGAGCCAUCUUUAGUGUGGUGGUUAGAAAGUUUUUUCGGUGUAGGAUGAGCUCGCGGCCUAUCAGCUUGUUGGUGGGGUAAUGGCCUACCAAGGCGGCGACGGGUAGCCGGCCUGAGAGGGUGUACGGCCACAUUGGGACUGAGAUACGGCCCAG